rnacentral:rRNA from 1 species
ACUCCCAACCCAAUGUGACCAUACCAAACUGUUGCCUCGGCGGGGUCACGCCCCGGGUGCGUCGCAGCCCCGGAACCAGGCGCCCGCCGGAGGGACCAACCAAACUCUUUCUGUAGUCCCCUCGCGGACGUUAUUUUUACAGCUCUGAGCAAAAAUUCAAAAUGAAUCAAAACUUUCAACAACGGAUCUCUUGGUUCUGGCAUCGAUGAAGAACGCAGCGAAAUGCGAUAAGUAAUGUGAAUUGCAGAAUUCAGUGAAUCAUCGAAUCUUUGAACGCACAUUGCGCCCGCCAGUAUUCUGGCGGGCAUGCCUGUCCGAGCGUCAUUUCAACCCUCGAACCCCUCCGGGGGGUCGGCGUUGGGGACUUCGGGAACCCCUAAGACGGGAUCCCGGCCCCGAAAUACAGUGGCGGUCUCGCCGCAGCCUCUCAUGCGCAGUAGUUUGCACAACUCGCACCGGGAGCGCGGCGCGUCCACGUCCGUAAAACACCCAACUUCUGAAAUGUUGACCUCGGAUCAGGUAGGAAUACCCGCUGAACUUAAGCAUAUCAAAAGCCGGGAGAA